GUUGGUUCCGGCGAAAGAGAGAGAGGAAGAAGAGAAAUGGCCGAACCAAAUUGUUCUGCUCUGGAGAUUUUGCCACGAAACUGAGGAUCACAUAAACAUAACCCAACCAGCGGCGGCAUCUUGGGCUGUCAACAUCAGGAAAAUCGACGGCGAUUUCUACAUGGUGGAUGGCUGGUCAUCCUCGAAAUGAAGCUACUUAAUUUUCGGCCACGAUUCCUGCCUUGAACUCGGAGAUCCCAAAAGAUUUCUCGGAUGCGAUGGGGAUGGGAAAUAAGGGGAAGAUAAGUCUAAAGGACUGGAAGGGAAGGAAGUGGGCGAUCAGCAUAACGGAUCGGA